UACGUGAAUACGUUCCCGGACCUUGUACACACCGCCCGUCAAGCCAUGGAAGCUGGGUGUACCUAAAGUCGAUAACCGUAAGGAGUCGCCUAGGGUAAACUAGUAACUGGGCU
rnacentral:rRNA from 1 species